GGCCCCUCUGCCCUGGGCCGCAUUCAGCACCCGGGGAGAGGGGAAGAGGGUCGGGCUGGGCGGAGGCAAGCGCAGCUGCUCCCCGGGGGAUUCGGGGCAAGUCCCUUCCCCUCCCCGCGGUGUCCUCACGAGGAUGGGACCAUCCUUCCCUCCCCUCCCAAAGACUGCGAGGCAGCCCGGAGACCUGGAGGAGCCACGUGAAGGGUGAUCACUAAGGCACCACCCAAGGGGUCAAACUGCACCAGGCUGGGAUGGGACAGGGCUCACUGCUAGGAGAAGAGAUGGCUGUGGAAAAUGAGGACCAAAGACUAAAUGAAUCACGCUCCUUUCGUCUCUUGGCAGCUGCGCUCAGUGGUAGUUGCCCCGUUCUCUCCACCUGAGGUGGUGAAGGGUGACCAUGCAGGAUUUGUCCUUGGGCUGCUACAUUGUGCUGAGAAGCCCACCUGGCUGAUGACAAUGGCCCGUGGGAGGAGUCCCCUAGUCAGUGGAGUCAUGUGUGGAAUUAGUGCAAACCAGCAGAGCUCAGUGACAAUGACAGAAGUCUAUGUGGAUCCCACCAGCAUAGUCCCCAUGAGGGGACUGAUGGGUAUAUCGCAUCUGAAACCCUACAGACUGGACCCCGCUGCCAGAAUGAAUUGAUUUCUCAGUCAACAUCAACUGCAUCUUUGCCACAGACAUCUCAUACAUAUUCGAGAUGCAGGGGACACUCUAUGCUUUGCAGGUAGAUCCAAACUAAACAGCAACCUUGAUUCCUUACCAGGGAUCUACGUUGUUUUUUGUUUAGCGGCUGCCGGAGUUGGGGAAGCAAAUCGUGUUAUUUUGGGAGACCGAGUCAAUGGCAGAUCACGGUGUUAACCACCUUGCUGCACUUAGGACUAAUUUCACUGACAGCAGUAAAACACUAGUAGGCAUUCAGAUGAGAUAACACUCAAAUCUGAAAACAGUAAACAGAUUUGUUGGCUUUGCAUAGCUCCCUGGGUGCAUAUAUGCCUGUAUGUCUUUGUAUGAGGUGCAUGUUCACAAUGAGUCUGGAGGGGAAGGUAGGUGAUAAGCCCAGCACAAGAGCUGCUGAAAGUAGUACAGGUCUGUCUUCUAGCAAGGAUCUGAUCUAAUGUGAUCCACUCUUCCCUCUAAUAUUCUUAAGUGUCUCAGAGAAAGGAGGACAGCAACAGAUAUUGCCAGUGUAUUGUGAGGAUUAUAAAGGGCUUUGGAAGAAAGGCAUUACACAACUAAGGAAAGAAAGGUUGGAAGGGACAUUGAGAGGUCACCUUGUGUCCCAAGCCAGACUCCACUAGACCUAAACUGUUCCUGUCCUGUGGUUGUCUUAUCUGCUCUUAAUCUUCUAUGAUGGAGAUUGCACCAGGACCUGAGAAAAUCCAUUCCAGCGCUUAACUAUUCUGUUAGGGAGUUUUUCCUACUGACUAACCUAAAUCUCCCUGGCUGCAGUUUAAGUUGAUUGCUACUUAUCCUAUCCUCAGUGCACACCAAGAAGAGUUUAUAACCUUCCUUUUGGCAGUAACCUUUCACAUACUUCAAGACUGUUUGCAUGUUGGCCCUCAAACUUCUUUUCUCUAGACUAAACAAACCCAAUCCUUUCCAUCUUUCCUCACGGGUCAUACGCUCUAGACCUCUGAGUAUUUCCACCCCCCAGCCCCCCUUCCUCUGGAUUCUUUCCAAUUGGUCCAUAUCUUUCUUGCAGUGUGGUGCCCAAAACUGGGCACAGUACUCCAGCUGGGGCUCCCCUGAGUGGAGGGAUUACUUCAGGUCUUACAUGCAACACUCCUGCUGGUGUAUCGCAGUAUGAUGAUGUUUGCCUUUUUUGCCACAGUAUGGAUGGCAUUGUUGAUCUAUGUCUAAUUUAUGUUCCAUUCUGACUAUCCAGAUCCUUUGCUUCAGGACAGCUGCCUCGCCAGUCAUUCCACACCUUGUGUUUGUGCAGUUGAUUAUUCAUGCCUCAGUGUGGGACUUUGCACUUGUCCAUACUGAACUGAAUCUUCUUUAUUUCAGCCCAUUGUUCUGAAGUGUCAGGAUCAGUUUGAAUUCCGGUCCUGCCCUCUGCAGUGCCUGCAUUUUGACUGAAGUUCCUAAUUCUUGUAAAAUUUCUUCUUGAGAUUCAGGUGCCAAGGUGAAAAGUGAGCAUCCCAGGACUCAGAAUACUGCUCACUUCCGAUCAUCAUUAGCUAGGGCUGUUUCACUCUGUGUUCCCAGACCCUUCUGACAGAUUUUGAUCUGUACGAUUUAAGGAGUCAAAUCCUGCCCCUCAGGGGCUCUGGAAAACAGAACUUUCUCAUCUCACAGUACUUGUCUUGGUGUAAUUGCUCAGAUGUUUUGCUACCACAGCUAUAGUGCAUGAGCCAAAGGCCUCUGCACGCUCCCUGUUCAGGUGGUAGGCUUGUAGAUGCAUGUAGUGGCAGGUCCAGGGGCCACACCAGUAUGCUUCAAAUCCCUUCCUUCUGGGCUAGGACGGCUUAGGCCAGGUUCUCAGCCCUGCAGCAGAAAAGUGGAACUUUGCUGUACAGAAUAUUCACUAGCUUGCUGUAUUUGAACCCAUGGGGCAAGUGGGCCAGAGGCAGGGGUAGAACGGUCUCUGCAUCUCCAGCAAUUACAGUGGAAACAUCAGAGUUUGCUUAGCAGGGGGGAAGCUGGCAGCUGCUCUGCCCCAUCACACACUGAGUCAUGUUUAAUAUGUGUCUACUCCCAUGCCACUGCAGAAACCCUCUGAGCAACAAAGCACUCAUCCUAGAGUCAAGAACUCAUCAUGGAGGAACAAUGAUAGACAUGAAGAUGAGAACCCCAUCUACCCAUCCCACGCCUGCUCCAGCUGUGUACAUGAAUGAAAAAAUCCAAUGUUGUUCAUUUUGAAUGAAAAAUGUUAGUCUAAUCCAUUCAAACUCACCUGAUCAAUGUGCCAAGAAUGCCCUGCUUCCAAAAACACAUUCCCCAUAGGGAGAUAGCAAAAAGAUAAUUUAAAGGUAUACAUUAGAACUUGCUAAAUUCACCAAGAAUUUACCCCAGGAUCUUAUGCCUAAAUCCUAGCCCAGCUGAACUGAAUAGAAAAACUCCCGGUUUUUCCAGUGGGAUCGUGUCUGUCUCUCAGUCCAUAAAUAACACCAAUUAAAUUAGAAACUGCUUAUAAGUUUGCUAUUCUUUUCCUUGCCAGGUCCACUCACUUUUUCCUCUACAGAAGUAACACAAGGACAGAUUAAAGAAAAUAAAUUUCCUCUUUCAUCAAAUAAAUUCCUUCUGGAGCAAACAAAGCUGUGAGCUCUUAACUGAUGUCCCAUCAUGAUCUAGCAGUUUGCUCUGGCUGGAAGAGACUGCUUUGGAAAGCCCUAGCCCAUUUCCUGUUGUACACACUGCAGAGUGUAUCCUCAUCUCAAUCCUGGAAAUGCUUUGAUGGGUAUUAUUAGGCACGGGAAGCAUUUGGAACUCUCCCCUUCCGUAGGCUCUGACCAAAUUGUUACGGGAUGAAAGAGGGGCAAAUUGAAAGGGUCUGUGCAUACUGCAACAGGCUUUUGCUUUGAGGACCCCAUGUUGCGCCUGCUGCAUGCAUUUAGGGAACAUAUAAAACAGCCUGCCCAGCUUCUUCGCUAAUACAUGGAGCUUAUGGGCUUUUGGAAGAGUGGGGAGGAGGUUUCCAUCUUUUCAGUCUCAGGAGAGUAGGCUGUCAUGAGAGCGUAGUUUCCGGAGCCCCUUCUUUCUUUUCUUCAUGGUUGUUGCUGUGACUUGGUCUAUGUCACAUGCUGGAUGUUGGCUCAUGGUUUCUCCCAUAUAGAGAUGGGACGGCUGCACAUGUAAAGUGAAACUUGCUGUUCCUCAUAAUAGUUCUAUUCGGCUGUGGGGGUAGGGGGGGGCGGGCAUGCUUUGAUACUAGGAGGAAAAUUAAAACAUGGCACAAUGUGGUUUUCAUUGGCCACUCACAGCAUUUUUCCCUUUUAACUGAGAAGGAGUCUGAGAGGCUGCCUCCUAUAGAUAUUACCUCUUUAAAAAGAGAGGUUCAGGUUCCUGGCAUUUGAAUGUUAAUCAGCAAUUUAAUCUCCAAAGAUCUACAAAUAACAGACAUGAAGUAACUGAUCCUCUCAACAAAGGUGUUGAACUAUUGGGGUCUGUGCUCUCAUGCCUGUUUUCUCAAUGAGGAAUCUAGGGCUGAAAGGCUGAGCAGGUUACUGAAUUAGGAUCAGGGGAUUCUGGUUCCCCAUUCUAAGUAGUAGGUGAUACCUGUCUCCUCUAAACCCCUAUUUUCUCUGUCAAACUGCAGUAGGUUCUUCACUGGAUGGCCCAAAUAGUUUUUAAAAUGGAUGCAGUUUCACCUGGGUAAAAUCAAUGCCACUGAGAGAUGAAUUAGGGUUCACAUCUGUCGAAAGUGCAACACAGUCAUUUCCAAACCACAGCGCAAGCUUCAUAGCAGAAGGCUGCAUGGGAUGGCAAAGAAGAGAGUGGCCUGAUUGGCUGAAGGCAACAUGAUGAUUGUAGAGUAUGGAAUAAAAUCUUCUAAAAUUAUUG